rnacentral:lncRNA from 1 species
UUUUUUUUGUUUUCUUCAUUAUGCUUUUCUGUACUUAAACUAAGGUCCAGGAGUUCCUAUUGUGGCUCAGAGUAGUGAACCUGACUAGUAUCCAUGAGGAUGUGGGUUCAAUUCCUGUCCUUGCUCAGUGGGUUAAAGGUCCAGCAUUGCCAUGAGCUGUGGUGUAGGUCACAGACCCGGCUUGGAUCCCCAGUUGCUGUGGCUAUGGCAUAGACUGGCAGCUGCAGCUCCAAUUCAACCCCUAGCCUGGGAACCUCCAUAUGCCACACAUACAGCCCUAAAAACAAAAAAAAUAAAAAUAAAUUAAACUAACAUCCAAUAUUUUGUAAGCCUCAGAGUAUUUUCAAAUACAAGCUGGUUUUCUUUUCAGGAAAAGGAGUCAAGGGCUAGAAAUGAGUAGGAACACUGAUUUUUAUUUAAAAAAAAAAAAAUCACCUCUUAUCUCGUCAUACGUGCUCCUACCUGAUGCUACAUGAGGUCAUUUGCUAUCCUUUCCUGGUAUAGAGUUGUUACAGAUCAGAGGCUCUAAAUUCAAAAUAAAUGUGAGGUUCUUCAUGGCUAUAGAUGGUGCCUUGCUGUUCGCAAGAAACAACAUUUCUGAAUCUUGCCUAGAUUCUUCUGACACAAAAGAGGAUUACACAGCCAGAGCUUUGUGUGUGCGUGGUGGGGAGAGAGAGGAGGAGGAGAGGGAGGUGACCUUGGGCUUAGGAUUUACUAUGACCUGCUUAUGUGUUGGAUGAUAACUGCCUUCAGGGAUCCAAGUACUUGAACAGAAAGUACUUAUGAGGAAAGCUUCAGUAUCAAAUUUUACGCCACACCUCUCAUUUUUUCUUUCGUUAUCCAAAUAUAAACUAUAAAAUCAUUCAUCCCAAUUCCUGUAUGCCUAAUAAUUUGAAACUAAGUAAACAAAAGGAAUGUUCCAUUAAUCUUAUGUUUUCCAGGGCCCUGUUACCUUUAAAAAUAACUCUGGUUUGGAAGAAAUUUGAUUCUAAAGGACGGGUAACUUGCUAUAGCAAGGACUGGAAUUUUGACCUCCAUCAGAACUGAUAAUUUGGCAUUUAUAAAAAUAUGAUUUCUGCCUUGGGACUUAGAAGGAGAUAUGGGCUAGAAAUUACUGUUCUUGGAGUUCCCAUCGUGGCUCAGCAGUAACAAACCCAACUAGUGUCCAUGAGGACCCAGGUUUGAUCCUCGGCCUCACUGAGCAGGUUAAGGAUUCAGCAUUGCCGUGAGCUGUGCUGUAGGUCACAGAUGCGGUUCAGAUCCUGCAUUGCUGUCACUGUGAUGUAGGCUGGCAGCUGUAGCUCUGAUUUGACCCCUAGCCUGGAAACUUCUAUAUGCCAUGGGUUUGGCCCUAAAAAGAAAAAAAAAAAAAAAAAGGCAAUUUCUGUGCUUACCUUAAAAAUAAGGUUUGCAACCCAAAUAUUCUCUUCUAGGCCUAUGAACUAAUUCCCUCCCCGUAUAACUUCUGAGGAAAAACACUUUCAGUUACCUAAAAAUAACAAUUCCAACUUUUUGGCUCUAUCAAACUCUCUUUCUCCUAUCCUCAUGCCUCACAGAAAACGUUCAUGGCUUCCGCUGGAGAAUUAUCUUCCAAAUCAAUGACAUAGCUUCAAUAACUCUUUAAGAACUUUUCUGUUUUUCAAGACAACAGUGAUCAGCAUUCUUCGUUACAGUAAAUCCAUUUAUAAGCUAUUGUGUAGUUUAUAAAUCCCUUGGUAAGAAACCAACUGCAUAUAUUUUAAAGUCGACUGCUACAACUAGAGGAGAUUUGAGAGCUGAUCCAACUGGGCUGCAUAUUUCCAUCCCCCAAAGAACUUCUAGAAAUACGGAGGCCAGGUGUAUCCCAAACCAAUUUAAUCAGUCUCUAAGGAUGACGCUGAGGUACUAUAUAUAUAUAUAUAUAUUUUUUUUUUUAAGGCGCCCCUCAGGUGAUUCUGAUGCAUAGUGAGACGGGUACUAUGUAUGUGAUCCAACCACCUCAUUCUAUAGGUCAGGAAACAGAGGCCCAGAGCCAUUAAGUGACAUUCCUAAAGUCCCACGGGAAAAAAAAAAAAAAACAAAAAAAACGGAGUUCCCGUUGUGUCUCAGCAGAAAUGAAUUAGAACCAGGCACCAUGAGGAUACAGUUUUGAUUCCUGGCCUCUGGGCCAAGGAGCCAGCAUUGCUGUGAGCUGUGGUAUAGGUCACAGAUGCCCCUCAGGUCCCACGUUGCUGUUGGCUGUGGUGUAGGCCAGCAGCUGCAGCUCUGAUUCAGUCCCUCGCCUGGGAACGUCCACAUGCCACACUUGUGGCCCUAAAAAUAAAUUAAAAAUUUUUUAAAUAAAUAAAGUAACAUAGGUAAUCGGUCCCGCAGCCGGAGUCAGAAUCCACACCUUCGGAUUCUUCUCUAUUACACAACCUUUUUUCAUAACUCUGUUUCUCAGAUCUCAGAAUCUGAUUUUUAAAACGGACCCCAGUUUGGACCCCAUCCCCAAGCGCUUCCUGAGACGAGCUAUGUAGUUGUCAGUCUGACUGUGGCCUGUAUGCCCAGCCACUCCCUGCUGUUCUAAGAACCACAUCGCCCUGUGAGCUGGAACACCACCCCCUCCUGCCAUCUUCACCAGGAAACAAGAGCCUAAUUCGCAAUCCAUUUUAAUGGUUUUCUUUAUUGCUUCCACCAACCCCUCCUCUGACACUUCUCUUUAAAAGAAAUAAUAACAACCUCUUCUGGAAAACUUCUUUCAGUGGUAAAUUGAAUUUCUAGUGUAGGGAUGAACUAAAAGCUUUCAUAUAAAGAAAUGGCUUCAGGGCAACUUCUUGAAAAAUAAAUUGUUUGCUAAUGGGUGGUCUGAAGCUUGGCCUUGAGGGAGAGUUGAACACAGGACUGCAGAAAUCGCACAGGGAGCUGGAAUGGGCCCAGCUCCUCACACAAUGGGUGUCAUGCUGCAUCACUGGUCCCUUUCCAGAUUCUGCAAAGGGAUAAGCCCAACGAGUCCAUCCACCCCGAGUUUAAGGAAUGCCUCCUGAUUUACACAACUUAAGCUGUGAAAACUGGAAGGAUGCCUCUUCUGCUUGUCCUGCCUGAUCCGUGUGCAUAUCCCAACCCUGCUUAGCUAAUAAAAGUAACCAAGAAAAUGGUUUUGUUUUAAUAAAAAGUAAUUCUCUUGGGGCAGGAAGAUAAAGACAGCUGACCUGUGAAAAAGACAGGUCAGAAUCACGGCCAAGUUGAGUGAGAAAUGGACCAGAAGUCCAAAGACCUCAGUUUCAGCCCAGCUCCUGCCACUUACCGGCCGCAUGUGUUGGGGCAAGUCCAUUUCUAGUGGCCUAGAAGCUGGGAUCAUACCUGUCCUGACAGCCCCAUGGGUUGGUUAUGAUGACCAAUUUAAUAGAGAGGUAAUUAACAUAAAAUAAUCCCUGUAGAACUGCACAUUAAGGUCGUUAGUACUGGGAAGAACAAAGGAAAUUCAAAAUAUAUACAUACAUACAUCCCUGUGUGUGUGUGUGUGUGUGAGUGUGUGCGCGCAUAAAACAGGAGUUCCCGUCGUGGCGCAGUGGUUAAUGAAUCUGACUAGGAACCAUGAGGUUGCAGGUUCGGUCCCUGCCCUUGCUCAGUGGGUUGACGAUCUGGCGUUGCCGUAAGCCGUGGUGUAGGUCGCAGACGCGACUCAGAUCCCGCAUUGCUGUGGCUCUGGUGUAGACCCCUAGCCUGGGAACCUCCAUAUGCCAUGGGAGUGGCCCAAGAAAUGGCAAAAAGACAAAAAAAAAAAAGAUAAAACAUUCAGGAGUACUAAGUUCCUUAAAAAAGACGCAACUAGAGAAUGACUCAGCAGUAUGUUAACGAUUAACCAUGGUGGAGUCAGACAGACCUGGAGUCAAAUCUUAGCUCUGUCAAGAUACUCUCUGAGCCUCAGUGUUCUCAUCUAAACAAUGAGGGUCAUGAUGGCACAGACUUCUUGGAGGCCUGACAAGGUUGAUACCAGAUCAUCAUGUAAAGAGCUUAGCUAGGUGGCUGACCCCUGGCAGAUAACAACGAAUGUUAGCUGUUGGUUGUUAUCGUAACAGUAAUUAUUGUUAUUGUCAUUACUUUCUCUACCUCACAGGGCUGGGGUGAAUAAUGGGAUCAGAUAUGCAAAGUGGCAGCACAUAGGACAUUUUCAAUAGAUGGUUGUCAUUACUCUACUUGAGUCACCAGCUCUCACUCUUGACAGUAGCAGAAAUAUUGUGGAAGACCACAUUUUCAAAAUCAUUCUUUUCUCACCCAGAGAUUCCUUUCUGACCUGGUCCAAUUCUCUAUAGGCUUUGACUACCGUCAGGUAGACUGUGAGGGUUCCGGUUAAGCACUGGCACAUGUCAAUCACAGGGGUCCCAUUUAUACCUAGGGGUCCCAGAUGUCAAGUGUGUGUUUGUUGAGGUAAAAGCAAAAAAGCUGUCCCUGAGUACUGGCCCCAUGCUCUAUAGCUAUUUGAUCCUACAGCUAAAUCAGGGAAAUUGGCAGGAAGUUGGCUAAUUACAAAAAUUAUCAGAUGUAAUGGGCAAAGGAAACAAAGAAUAAAAAACCUACUUGAAGAGAAACUACAUGAAAUGUACAGCUCUGUUCCAGAAGUCUCUGUGAGUGGCAAUUUGUGUCACCGAUCCUACCAGUGCUUUUAUUGGAAAGGAGAAAACACAGAAGAAAAAAUCACAAAAAAAGUUAAAGCAAAAAACAUUCACUUAAUGUAAAAUUUCCUAUACAUCACAUGUAAAUAUAAUACCAAAAAAUGUUCUCUUUGGAAAAUGUCAAAAACAUAAGUUGAGUUCCUUGUUCUGCUAAAAUAAACUCUAUACGAAAUCUAGACUCAUGUGUAGAGAUUUGGAAAAUACAGAUGAAAAAAUGUUUAAUGAAUUAAGAUCAUCCAUAAUCAAAGCUCCCAGAGAUGAUGCCAUCAACAUUUUGGAAUAUAUUCUUUCAUACUUUCUCCUGUCUGUGUAUACAUAAAAAUUCUGAAAUUUCCCGAAAAUGAAUUAUCAUAAUUCUAGCUACUUAAGUUCUUUAAAAACACAGAGGAGAUUUAAAGACCUAAUGAAUUCAAUAAUGGCAACUAAUUUCUCUUUUGAUUACCACGUAAUUAAAAUACAGGGAAAAUAUAGAGCAUAGCAUUUAGUAGCACUGAUAGAUAAUAUUUAUAAAGUGCUCAUAUUGUGCCAGGCACACAGAGUCCAUGCUCUUAACCACCUCGCUAUGCUGCCUCUCAAACAGAGGUACAAUAUUAUCACUGUAGAAUCAGAAAGAAAAGCUCCCUUAUGCAUCUCUAUAACUUGGCAGCAAGUGGUAUAUAGUGCAGUGACUGCUGAGCAAAUCAUAAAACUUUCUAACAUGCUGAAAAUCCUAACACACCCAAAUAAUCUAGGAAAUAAAUACUGAUUAAAAUAAACUGAGUUUGCAUUUCACAAGCAAAGAUGGAAGGACAAUCUUGGAGGGGGAAUACUGGUGACAAACAUACCCAAUCCAAGCCUUCUUCAAGGAUGCGCUGGCUGCAUUUAGGUUUAUGACUUAAAAGGUUAGACUGCCAAGAAUUUUUAAAAAGGUUGAUGCAUCUGCGGCUGCAUUUCCCCAGGGCACCAUAACCUGCAGUCAUGCCAAAAUUAAAUAAAAGGAUUGACUGUCCUCUUUCUUCCUCUGCCUUCAGAAAUGUCACCAUUUGAACUGUUUGGGGAAUAAAGCUACUAUGAACUCAGCAUUCAGGAAGAAUUUUCUGCUUGGCCGGCAACCAGAACUUCUUAUUCCAUGAUCGGGGCCUAGCAGUCUCAAAGGGCAGUUGGACUCAGAUCCAAACUCUCAUUCCUUCCAAGGAAGAUGAUGAAAAGGAAAACCAUGGGGGCUAAGAAGGUAUGCAAUUAACUGUAUCAUAGUACCGCUAAGAGAAAGUUCUAUCCUCAGUUAGGGCAUGCGCAGGUCACUAGAGCGACCAAAGAGAUGUAACAUUAAGUAGUUUUUGACAAGUGAGAGGUGCAUAAGAGAGGAGAGGGAGCAGGAGAGAGUAGUUAAUCGGGAAAGCUAACCACUAUCCCAACACUCCCCAAAUCUCAGUGAGACUGCAGACUAAGAGUUUCUUUCUCAGGUGAGAGUCCAAUGUGGGUUAGGAGGGACAGGGCUCCAUGUGGCCAUCAGGGUCUCAAGCCUCUUCCCCCAGGGGUUCCAUCACCUUUCAGGGCCUUAGGGUCCUCAUCUAGAUUCUGUACUUAGUUGACACCUGAGGAGAGACAAAGGAAAGGAUCACAUGGGAGGAUUUAUAAGGAUGAGGCCAGAAAGUGACCACAUUCCACUGGCCAGAACUCAAUCACCUGUCCCCACCCAACUGAAAGGAAGGCUGGAAAAUUGGGCCUGGAAGGAGAACACCAGACCUGAUGGAAUAAGAUAGUGUAUCUUUUGCCUUGAGGAGGAGAAAGGAAAUCAAUCCAGAUGUGGACAAAAAUAAACAGAUGUGCCUUUACCUAAGUCAUUGUCGGCAGCCAUACUUCUUGGGGAUAAACUGAGGUCAAUCUGAAUUAUCAAUCAAUAAUUGAUAAUUACUGAUCAAUUAUCAAUCCCAAACACCCUGAGUCCUGCCAAAUAUGGUACAAUAGUCCCAUGUUCCUCUAGGUUAGUGGUUCUCAGCCAAGGGUGAUGUUGCCAUCAAAGGACAUCUAGCAAUGCCUGAAGACAUUUUUGGUUGUCGCAGCAGGGUGAGGGGGCCACAGACAUCUAGGAGGUAGAGGCCAGGGAUGCUUUUAACAUCCUACAGUGCACAAGACAGUCCUGCAUAAAGGAGGAUUAUCUGGCCCCAAAUGUCAAUAGCACUAUGGUUAAGAAGCUCCACUCUAGGCCUUGAGUCUAGGACUUUGUUCACACAUCUAUUACAACACUUCCAUUCGUGGGCCAUUUUUGAGUACCUACUAUGUGCCCAGGGCUUCACCUAGCACACUGUAAUGGAAUAGUUACUUCCAUACCCCUUUCUUCCCCUUCCCCACCAGACUGUGCAUUACAGGGCAAGAACAGGACUGGACUUUGUACCCUCCAGUGUCCACUAAUGCCAGGCACAUAAUACAUGUUGACUGAGUGGAUGGAUGGAUGACUCCAUCCCCUGAACCACUAUGUCCCACACUCCCACCUUCUGAGUAAAUGAAGGUACUGGUUUCUCAAGAUUGCCCAUUUUGAAAACCUAACAAAAUAUCAAGGAGAUGAUAAUCUCAUCUGUCCUGAAGAAACCCAGUGCUCAAAGGAGCACAUGACCUCAGAGGCUGGUAAUGGAGCACAAAGCCUCAUCUUCUUAAAUCAGCUCUUCACAAACCCUUGUCCAAAGAUACAGGAAGUUGUACCUAUGCGGCAGCUGCGUGGUGAACUUCAUUUAAUCUGAGUCCUGUAUAUUCAUCUACGAUCCUAACUCCAAAGACAUGGCACAUGGGGAUGGGCACAAUGACAAAAACGUUUGUCAUUCAAAAUCUGUGCACACAAGAGAAGAGAAGCCCCCUUAUGGCUGGGGUAGGGCCUGCUUCCUCCUAGAAAGUAGCUUCCCUUAACGGCAAUGAGUCCGUUUCAUCUAAACGGAAGUCGGUCCAUGAGCUUCCUCUCCUGGCUCUCUUCCCUUAUCUCUCCCCAUCACCUGCAUCAGCUUUUGAAUUUUAAAGAGAGCAGAGCUCUCACUUCUCGCAGCACACCAAGGACAGAUGGAACGUGUUGUUACACCACUAAUCACCAAACCACCACCUCCUAUUUGGAAAAUGUUUUCCAAGAAAGUGCUUUUGAUGUUUGUUAUCUUAUUUGACCCUCUUCCUCUUUCUUCAAGCCACUCAAUGGUUUACAACACUCUCUCAAUGGCUUGAGGCUGUGCUGGCACAAAAUAUGGUCCCAGUACAUUUUACCCUGGGCGGCUCUACGAUGGUGCACACCCUCAUGUUGGGUAGAAAGAGAUCAAAAUUUGAAAGCCAAGAGCUUGGCUCUAUCCAGUUCCUGACCCUGUCACUUACCAGCUCUAUGGCUCAGUUUAUGCCAUCCUUUUCCCUGGGGCCAUUUCCUCCUGCAUGAAGCAGAACUAUGGCUCCCUGUGCCACUUCAUCCACUGCUCUUAAAAGGAUCCAGUGAGAUCAAACAUGCAAAAACAUUUUGUAAUGUGGUGUCCUAGCUUCUCCCCAGAAAUGAUCAAUAUGCCUCUCAGCCACCGAAUGUCUCUCACCAAAGUCAAACUGCUAGAAAAUACAAAUUGGAUUACAUACAUAAUAUUAUUACACUAAGUGCUGCACUCUUCUCUUCAACCAAUAUCUGAUGGCUUCUAAAUUGACUUAACAAGAGAAUAAACAGAAAUUGCUUAGAUUCUCUUUCAUAUCACAGCUUCUCAUUGUUUAGCAAUAACUACACUCACUCUUGGCCAAGAAAAAUAAUGCAAUGAAACAAUUCAAAACCACACACUGUUCAAUUGUUCUUUAGUUUCUCUCAUAAGACACCACGAAACUGGAAUGACAGGGGAACGUCUACGGACCACUGGCUGCAUUUUCUCAUAACCGAAUAAUACAUAAACAUACUCUCUAUUUGAAUGUCUCAAUACAAAUAUAUAAAGUAAACCAAAAAACCCCACCCAUCUUCACUCCCCAGAGGUAAUCAGCCAUCAGUCUGUCUGGUGCGCAUCCUGCCAGACUUCUUUCUGCAAAUUAACUAUAUGUGUAUAUAUAUACAGAAAUGUCUUACUCUGCGCUUCAUUAUAUAAUUGAGAUCACAGCCUAAGAACUGUCCUACAAGUUGCUUUUUUUGACUUUUUGCAGAUUUUUUCAUACCAUGCAUGCCUAUCACCUCAUUCUUUUUAAUAGCCUAUGGUUUUGUUAGGUAGACACCUCAACUUUAUGUAACCCUGCUGAUGGAAAUGUGUAAGUUCUCAAUUUCCCAAAUCACAAAGCUUUGUUAAGCUUUUAAAUCUCCAUUUGAUUCUCUCUCUCUAAAUUUCACCUGAAAAGCACUGCCAGUAAAGUUCUAAUAUUCCCUUCUUCCCC